AGCAGCUGGAGAGGCAGGAGCUCUGGAAGUGAGGAUGCAGAGAGGAGCCUAGUAGCAAAUGAUGUCUUCCCCUGAUAUGGAGUUCACAGGGGAGGAAGGUUCUUCAUUCAAAGCUGAUGCAGAUGAGUUGCACCAGACUUUGCCAUCACAAGCAUCCCCUGACUCUAAAUGCCCUGUCUGCUUGGAGACAUUUGACAGCAUGUUUCACUUAAAUCCAUGCUCACAUACAUUCUGCCUUCCUUGUAUUCAGGAGCAGUCACAAACCAAAUCAGAGUGUCCACUCUGUAAGCAGCCUUUCCAAUCUAUAUUUCACAGUGCAGAAGAUGAAGAAGAUUUCAAGGAAUAUGUGUUUAUGCCAUCAGAAACUCACUCUCUUUCUAAUCCUCUUUGGUGGAAAUGUCCCUAUCAUACCUCUUUAAGGAGAGAAGAUAAUACAACAGGAGUCCCUUGUCUCAACAGGAGUUCCUUGUCUCAACAGACCUGGUGGUCACCACCAACUCUUGGAUCGUGCAGUGGUCACGCCAAACAUCAAGGAGAUCAAAUAAUUCAUGAAGUGGCUAAAUCCUUUGCAAAAAGGAGACAGAUUAUUGCAGACCGGGCUUUUCUGAGAAGGGUAUAUCAAGACUCUGGAAUGCAAACUCAAGAGGCUUGUCAUCAUAGAGAUUUUUCAGGCCGUUCACAGAUGCCAAGCUUAAUGAAGAUGAUAGGGAAGCUUGGUUUAACUGGUAUACUACUAUUUCUUUGUUUUUAUCUUUAUUUUAUUUUUAUUUUAUUAUAUAAAUAAAAUCCUACUGGGUCUUUUGAUGGCCUGGGAAAUAAAUAUGUAUAUGAGAAAAAUGGAAAGCCCAAAUCCUUGGAAAGUAAAACAGUUGUCUUGAACUUACCAUAGACUCAAAACAUAGGGUUAAUAGACAAUUUCAUCCAAUCUAGAAGUCACAGACGCAAUGGAUUUAUUUAAGCACUUUUGAAAUUUGUAUCUUGUCAUAUUGAAAGUCUGUUGGGUUUAGAUACUUCUUAAGUGCUUGUGCCACUUUUGAAAAUAGAAACAUGGCUUCUGAACCACUUUUUGGAAAAAAUUGUAUCCAUGUCCCUUAUGAAUUAGAUUAAACUGGCUGUCAGAACUACCUAUUGAUUUCCCCUCAAAAUGCAUUGAGCACUCUUGACUGAAACUGAGCUUAGAACAAUAUAUAUUUUUUUAGAUAAGAUCUAAUUUCUUCGUUUUCAAGAAAUUCUGAAGGACAGAUGAGAAUAUUUCUGUCUGUUGUUGUUUGUUUUCUUCUAUAUUUUAGAGGGAACCUGAGCAUCUCUGACAAAUCUUUAAAUAACUUAUCUCUGAAGAAGCAGGUUUGAUCUCAGCAAGUACUUUGCACUAAUUACUACAUAAAGUUCAGUACACCUAGGAAGAGAAAUUCUUUCAUAUACACAAGUGCAAAGUUGACGUAUCUUCAUUGAGAUAAAUGGAGUUAUUCUUGAUAUUAUACUAGUAGAACAGAAGAAUUUGCUUUGUAUAGCAGUACCACCCUAACCAA